GGGGGCGCCUGAUUGAGGGGAGCUCCGGGGGCUGCGGAGCCUGGCGGGCAGGAAGGACCCCUCCGGGGCUAGCCACAAGGUUCGGGGGCGCGGUAUGCAUCGCAGAUAGCAGGAGCUUUACGAGCCGGAAGCGCCUUGGAGGGAGGGGACACCCACCAGAAAAGAUACAAAUACCUGCCAUGGACAAGGCCAGAGGUCUGAUAUCUACCCUGGAGUAGAAGUGAUGGAGCAACUUCUAAACCCACCAACCACCCCACCCCGCCGUGGUCAUUUGAAUCACCUGGCCUGGUUUUUCCCGCUCCACCAGAAUCGCAGAAGCCCUGUUUCUGGGAAUGCUGCCUGGAAAGACGUAUUUUCAACAAGUUGCAGCACAUUCUGAUGAUUGCAGAGUCUGAGCGCACCUGCUCCACAGAGAAACUGAGCAGCGAUGCUGAGAAGAUACUGGGCGUCGGGAGGCUGCCCUUCACUGUCCUGGCCGGGAGAGUGGAGCCAGGUUCCCAUUUCUCCAGCCAGAGGUGUCCCCAGUCCAGGAUUUGGCCUCCAGAAUCAUCCAUCCCUUUCUGCAGCAUUCUGCACUUUGCAUUUUAGCCCCAAAGUCUUCAUCUUCUUAUAAAAUUGGCAUUUUUGUAAUUUAGAGGAUUGGCCAUUUGUCAUCGAGUGUCUGUAAUAUAUUGAGUUGGCCAGUUUGUAAGAUGGUAUGGAAAAACCUGAAUGAACUUUUUGGCCAACCUAAUAAAAAAUAAUAGGUACAAACUAAGAGUCCAAACAAUGGGUUAAGUACAUUUUAAUGCAAAUAUACACGUGGCCUUCUAUUGCUGGUAUGAUUAUGAAGACAAACCUCCAUUUACACGGAAGUGUAUUUAGGAUAUGUUAAUAAAUGAAGGAGAGUCAGAAAUACCACUAAACUGUG